UCAGCAUUAAAGAGCAGAAUGUAAGCAUUUUCAGUCAUGUGAGCAUUUAAUAGUGUUGCUAACCUACAGACUUCACACUGGGAGAUGUCUAAGGCCAGGUAGUAGUGACUUCCUUGGAUAUCGCAUGGUUAGCACAAGCUUGCUCUAAGGUAACUAAGCACAAGAACCCAAUAAUUAUUUAUUAAACACCUAUUGCAUACAUGCUACUAAAUGUCAUUGAGAACAUAAAUGAAAUUUAAGAAGGCCCCAGACCAGAAAUUUCCAGUAGAGUAAGUAAUUGAUCUCUAUGUCAAAUAUAGAAAACAACAGG
rnacentral:lncRNA from 1 species